rnacentral:rRNA from 1 species
UACGUAGGGACCGAGCGUUGUCCGGAAUCAUUGGGCGUAAAGAGCUUGUAGGCGGUUUGUCGCGUCUGCCGUGAAAAUCCGGGGCUCAACCCCGGACUUGCGGUGGGUACGGGCAGACUAGAGUGUGGUAGGGGAGACUGGAAUUCCUGGUGUAGCGGUGAAAUGCGCAGAUAUCAGGAGGAACACCGAUGGCGAAGGCAGGUCUCUGGGCCACUACUGACGCUGAGAAGCGAAAGCGUGGGGAGCGAACAGG